CAAUAGCGUAUAUUAAAGCUGUUGCGGUUAAAAAGCUCGUAGUUGGAUUUCUGUCAAGGACAACUGGUCCGCCCUUCGGGUGAGCACAUAGUUUGGUCUUGGCAUCUUGUUGGAAACUGUUGCUGCACUUGGUUGUGUGGCGCAGCGUCCAGCACUUUCACUUUGAGGAAAUUGGAGUGUUUCAAGCAGGCACAUGCCUUUGGACACAGUAGCAUGGAAUAAUUAGAUUGGGCUUUUGCUCCAACUUGUCGGUUUCUGGAGCUGAGGUGAGAAUUAAUGGGGAUUGUUGGGGGCAUCCGAAUUUAGCCGUCAGAGGUGAAAUUCUUGGAUCUGCUAAAGACGGACAAUUGUGAAAGCGUUUGCCCAGGAUGUUUNCAUUGA
rnacentral:rRNA from 1 species